rnacentral:rRNA from 1 species
CGCAUCUGUGCAUGCAGCAUAUCAAUAAGCGGAGGAAAAGUAAGUGCUGUAUACCUACGCUUAGGAUGUUGACGAGACUGUCGAUCUCAUCUAAACAUGACUCUGUGCAUAUCAAUAAGCGGAGGAAAAGAAACUAACAAGGAUUCCCCUAGUAACGGCGAGUGAAGCGGGAAGAGCUCAAAUUUGAAAUCUUAAAGGUUUUCCCUUGACGAAUUGUAGUUUAAAGAAGUGUUUUCCUGCUGAAGUUUUGGUAAAAGUUCUUUGGAAUAGGACAUCAUAGAGGGUGAGAAUCCCGUAUUUGACCAUUAUUUUCAGCUUUGUGAUACACUUUCAAAGAGUCGGAUUGUUUGGGAAUGCAGUCCAAAAUGGGUGGUAAAUUUCAUCUAAAGCUAAAUAUUGGCGAGAGACCGAUAGCGAACAAGUACCGUGAGGGAAAGAUGAAAAGAACUUUGAAAAGAGAGUUAAACAGUACGUGAAAUUGUCAAAAGGGAAGCGUUUGACACCAGUGUUGUUUUCUCGAAAAUCAAUUAAAAAUGGCUCGAUUUUGUAUUGCUGAGACCUUAAAAGCUCACUGUACAUUUUUCGUGUCUUUUUUAAUGCACCUUUCGUUUAACAAGUCAACAUCAGUUUCUUUUGUUGUAAAAGGGUCAUUGGAAGGUGGCUUUCUUUUCGGAGAAAGUGUUUAUAGCCUUUGGCCUCUGCAAUCGAAGAGACUGAGGUCUGCAGCGUAGACUCUUCGGGGUUAGAUACAUUUGUGCUAAGUUAUAGCAUUUUAUAGACAACUUGUUGACUAUAAUUUAGUCUUGUAGCUUACUCGCUUAUGUUAUUUUACCUACGCUUAGGAUGUUGAUAGUCACAGCGUGUAC